UUAGAGGAGCAUUCUUAAGUCGACGAAGCUGUACUGUAAGGAGCAGUGGAGAGUUAAGAAGAGAGAAUGCCGGAAUGAGUAGCGAGAUUUAAGUGAGAAUCUUAAAGGCCGAAUAUCUAAGGUUUCCAGGGUAAAGCUGAUCUUCCCUGGGUAAGUCGGGGCCUAAGGCGAGGGCGAGAGCCGUAGUCGAUGGAUAACAGGUUGAAAUUCCUGUACUGCUUAUGGACAGAACUGUGGGGACGCAGAAGGAGAGCACGAGCCGGAAAUGGAAAAGCCGGUACAAGCGUAUAGCAGUCAUGCAGGCAAAACCGCAUGAAAAAUGUAAAGCGUUAUGUGGAUCGAACAUUAGUAGAGAAGCGUGUGAGCCAGCUGCCAAGAAAAGCCGCUAUUGUUUCAUAAGUACCCGUACCGUAAACCGACACAGGUGGAUGAGGAGAGAAUCCUAAGGCCGGCGGGAGAAGUGUUGUUAAGGAACUCGGCAAAAUGACUCCGUAACUUCGGGAGAAGGAGUGCCACAGAGAUGUGGCCGCAGAGAAAUGGCCCAAGCAACUGUUUAGCAAAAACACAGGUCUAUGCAAAACCGAAAGGUGAGGUAUAUGGGCUGACGCCUGCCCGGUGCUGGAAGGUUAAGAGGAGAGGUUAGAGCAAUCGAAGCUUUGAAUUUAAGCCCCAGUAAACGGCGGCCGUAACAAUAAUGGUCCUAAGGUAGCGAAAUUCCUUGUCGGGUAAGUUCCGACCCGCACGAAAGGCGUAAUGAUUUGGGCACUGUCUCAACAACACACCCGGUGAAAUUGAAAUACCAGUGAAGAUGCUGGUUACCUGCGCCAGGACGGAAAGACCCCAUGGAGCUUUACUCCAGUUUGAUACUGGGAUUCGGUACUGUCUGUACAGGAUAGGUGGGAGGCUAGGAAAUGGUGACGCCAGUUGCCAUGGAGCCAACCUUGGGAUACCACCCUUACAGUACUGGGUUUCUAACCUGCAGCCGUAACCCGGCUGGGGGACAAUGUCUGACGGGGAGUUUGACUGGGGCGGUCGCCUCCGAAAGAGUAUCGGAGGCGCUCAAAGGUUCCCUCAGAACGGUUGGAAACCGUUCGAAGAGUGCAAAGGCAGAAGGGAGCUUGACUGCGACACCGACGGGUGGAGCAGAUACGAAAGUAGGACUUAGUGAUCCGGUGGUAUAAAGUGGGAUUGCCAUCGCUCAACGGAUAAAAGCUACCCUGGGAUAACAGGCUUAUCACUCCCAAGAGUUCACAUCGACGGAGUGGUUUGGCACCUCGAUGUCGGCUCAUCGCAUCCUGGAGCUGUAGCAGGUUCCAAGGGUUGGGCUGUUCGCCCAUUAAAGCGGUACGCGAGCUGGGUUCAGAACGUCGUGAGACAGUUCGGUCCCUAUCCGGCGUGGGCGUAGGAUAUUUGAGAGGAGCUGUCCUUAGUACGAGAGGACCGGGAUGGACAAACCUCUGGUGUAUCUGUUGUUUUACCAAAGGCAUGGCAGAGUAGCCAAGUUUGGCAGGGAUAAACGCUGAAGGCAUCUAAGCGUGAAGCCCCCCUCAAGAUAAGAUAUCCCAUCUUCGGAGUAAGACCCCUUGAAGACUACAAGGUUGAUAGGCUUCGGGUGUAAGUGUGGUAACGCACUCAGCUGAGAAGUACUAAUAGUUCGAGGACUUAUCA
rnacentral:rRNA from 1 species